UGACAAAACACACAGACUGACACCACGGUUCUUAUGAACAUUAAGGGUGAGAUUACGUCACGAGAGUUUAUUGUCAUUUGAAUCGUAAUAUGAUUUUUUUCGAAUCCUGAGAAAACCAAGUAUUUUAGAAAAAUUAAACGCAGGAUGCAAGAUUACAUUAUUACCGAGGGCGGAAAGCCCCUUAGAAUAAACAAGCAGAUUCUAUUGAAUGAAAUAUUUGAAAUUAAAUAUCACACUUCUCUUUUAUUUUCAGCCCUGUAACUUAUUAAAAUAAACAUUAUAGAAGUUUUCAGGGACUUUCAGCCCUCGGUAAUAAUGUAGUCUUCCAUUCUGAGUUUAAAUUUUUCAAAAAUAUUUAUUAGUUUUCUCAGUAUUCGAAAAAAAUUAAUACAAUAGGCCGUUCCAACAUGCUGUCAAAAUUAAAUCAAUAUGGCUACUGGAAGUAAAACAUAAAUGUUAUUCUAUAGGUUCUUAAUGUGUUUUAGAUGUUUUUAGAUCAUUUUUGUUGUGUUUCUUUGUAAUUUUGUGUGAUACAAAGAUUAAUUGAACAUUUUCACUGGAAGAAUUAAUUUAAGAACAUAAAAUGCCUAAUUGCUGUUGUGUUUUGAAGUGUGGAAUGCGAAGUAAUCGUGAUAAAGUUCACUUUUACCGCUAACCAUCAGUGCUACAUUUUAAACACAAAACUGAACUAAAUAAGUUAUCAUCUGAGAGACAAGAACAAUGGUUACAUGCAAUAAAACGUAAAGGUUUUACAAGCGAAAUGAAAAUUAAGAAUGCCCGUGUCUGCUCCAAUCAUUUUCUAUCUGGAAAACCAGCCGACUUAACGGAUAAAAACAAUCCAGAUUGGGUUCCUUCAAUAAAUAUGGGCUAUAAACACAAUGAAAUAAGUUCCCCAAAAUCUAUAAUGAAGUGGUAUCAAAGGAGAAUUAAAAGAAAAAAUAUUCAUAUUGAAAUUAUUUAUAAGGCACUGGACUGUCUUAAAUUCUACAAAUACUAGAAUCAGCUGAGAGAAGUGAUGUACAAAAAAACUAGGAAGGGAAUGGAAUAUGUGGCUACGAAAGGCAAAAGAAAUGAUUACAAAGCAAAUGUGACACAUUUUUUUAAAAAUAUGUAGGAAUAUCAGUAAACUACAUUAAAAAUGUAUGAAAAGAUUUUGUGCAAUAAAAAUGUUUAUAUUUA